rnacentral:lncRNA from 1 species
UUUUCCCUCGAAAUAAAAAUCCUAAUCUACUUUUUCUAUUCUUCAAAUUGGGUGGGUGAGAAAAUACCUACUGGGUCUGAAAGCCCUUUUCGUAAAAAAAUUUCAUUUAUUUAUUUUCAAUAUUAUCAAACUUAUGCUUACGAAUGACCGAGCAAAAGCAGGAAAGGAAACCCAAUUGAAUGAGAGAGAGCGUGUUUGUGUUAUUUAAUCUGUUUAGUCGCAG